UACAUAACCGCUGAUAAUCAAGAGUAUCUGAAGGUUAAGAAGAGGACCAAACAAAAGUCAGAGAAGUCCUAUUCCCACUCCUCCAGAAGCAGGGCAGUGAUGACCCCAAUUGUCCCUAUAGCUCUGGGGGAGCUGGAGUCCCCUGGAACCAGUGAUGAUGAGGAGGCCACAGACCGGAAGGAGAGGGUCUCCAGUGCCAGGGAACGGCAUGAGCAAGCCAGAGCCAUGAUGGACACAUUCACUGAGAAGUUCCACUCUAUCGCAGAGGAUCUCCAAGAGAUGAAGAUUCCCAGGAAGAGGUCCACUCGACUGCGGUCAUCAUGCUCCCAGUCUGCCAAUGAGGAUGGAUCCCCCCUGGCCUCUACCCAAUCAGAUAAGGCCCUGAGGCGAGACUGGUCACGACAUAUGAUUACAGCCGGAGAGGCCGGUGGUGACAUCAUUCGAACACCUUCAUCAGCGUCAUUAUUCUCUUUGCCAACCAUUUAUGAGGUCGUCAAGGGGAGCAGCGAGUCCAAACCUGAUGUGUCCGGAGAUGAUGUCAAAAAGAGCAAGACGUCCAAAUGUAAAGUCAGGCAAGGCUUUCGCUAUUUCACCAAGGCUUUGACUGGACUGUUGCGUACAAAAGAUGACCCUACUGGAGAUGGACGGAUUGCGCGAAGUGUGACACCAUCCAAUGACACACUCAACAUGGUCAUGGCUCCUCCACAUCCACUCACUAACUGGCAUUUGUGAGCUACAUUCAGACAAAAAGGCAACCGCAUUUUGUAUGGAUGAUAUUUAGCAGAGGAUAUGUUUUUCUUAUAUAAAGGGUACAAAUGAAUAAUACAACUGUUCUGUUGGGAGUGGCGGUGUUUGGGUGGAAUCACUGGGGAAGCCAGAAAAAAAGCCAUGUGUUGUGAUAAUUGCGUUGUUUGCUCUAUAAAUCCUUUGCUCUAUAAAUCCAACCCUAGACUUUGAGAUUGACAGAGUAUGCAUCAACCUCUGUUCCUACCCAGCACUAACUGAUUCUACUGAUCAUCAAGACCUUCAUUAGAUAUACAGCUCUGUAAAGAAAUGAAGAGACCACUGCAAAAUGAUCAGUUUCUCUGGUUGUACUAUUUAUAGGUAUGUUUUUGGGUAAAAUUAACAUUUGUUUUAUUCUAUAAACUAUUGACAACAUUUCUCCCAAAUUCCAAAUAAAAAUAUUGUAAUUUAGAGCAUUUAUUUGCAGAAAAUGACAACUGGUCAAAAUAACAAUAAAGAUGCAAUGUUUUCAGUCCUCGAAUAAUGCAAUGAAAAGAAGUUCAUAUUCAUUUUUAAACAACACAAUACUAAUGUUUUAAUUUAGGAAAAGUUCAGAAAUCAAUAUUUGGUGGAAUAACCCUGAUUUUCAAUCCCAGCUUUCAUGCGUCUUGGCAUGUUCUCCACCAGUCUUUCACAUUGAUGUUGGGUGACUUUAUGCCACUCCUGGCUCAAAUAUUCAAGCAGCUGGGCUUUGUUUGAUGGCUUGUGACCAUCAAUCUUCCUCUUGAUCACAUUCCAGAGGUUUUCAAUGGGGUCCAGGUCUGGAGAUUGGGUGGUCUUGAUCUGGUGGUCCUCCAUCCACACCUUGAUUGACCUGGCUGUGUGGCAUGGAGCAUUGUCUUGCUGUAGAGCAUUGCCUUGCUGAAGCACCCCCAGAUCAUCACCGAUCCUCCACCAAAUUUCACAUAGGUUGCAAGAUCUGGAGAGGCCUACAAGCCGCAGUGUCUCGCACCCACUGUGAAAUUUGGUGGAGGAUCCGGUGAUGAUCUGGGGGUGCUUCAGCAUGGCUGGAAUCGGGCAGAUUUGUCUUUGUGAAGGACGCAUGAAUCAAGCCACGUACAAGGUUGUCCUGGAAGAAAACUUGCUUCCUUCUGCUCUGACAAUGUUCCCCAACUCUGAGGAUUUUGUUUCUCCAGCCGGAGAGCACUAAACAUUUUCGGACCACUACACAACUAUUGAUAUAGAACUACAGAGAGUUACCGCAAGUCGCAAAGAAAACAGGAGCUGCCUCCUCUAUUCCAGCACCAUUUCAACAUCAUCAAACCCCCUCUGGUUAGUCUAAUACAGUGACAACUAAAAGAUACCAAAAACGAUUUAGUCCAAAUGUAAGCUAAAUAUGAUGUGACUGUCCAUGGUUCUGAUUUUUGUGUGCUUGUGCGUGUGUGUGCACAUUCAUUCAAGUAGAAAAAACGUGUUUACCCACCCUACUUAUAGAGAAACGCCAAUGCCAUCCUCCUCUCUUGCAUGCUGACGAAAGUGUCUAUCACUCCGUCAUACAUAUCAGGCUUUUAUGUCAUACAUAUCAGGCUUUUAUUUUUUGUUUUCCUAGGCUACCUGGCUAAAAUGCAUGCUUGCGAGCCUAACUUCCUUUCAUGGGCAACGUUAGCUAGUUAAACAUUAGCCUAACAUCUAUCUACAUAUUGAACUCUCAGGCCCAGGGGCACAAUGUAUGAAUGAAUGUUUGGAUUAGGAUCACUGUUAUAAUCAUUGGCCAAUACGGAGAAUUAAGUAACUACAAGUCCAAAUCCCUAUCUCACAUCCAUUGCUAAUUUAGGAAAGGGGCAAUUUUAGCUGGCUGGCUAGCAACCAGAGGACAACAACACAAUAAGAUGCAACAAUUCAAGUUGUUUCUGUUAAUAACGUAUGCUCUCAAUGCGAUUUGAUAGGAGUGACUGGCUUCCCUCGUAGAACAGCUAAAUACUUUUUAGCCCUUCCACGUCACUUUACUCACAGAAAAUGUCUGCUAAAUAUAGAAUCACAUGGUUUAUCCAUCUCUCUGUAACUGCCCAUAACUUCACAAAGUUGCCAAUGUCUGCAAUUGAUACAAACCAUCAACGUAUAAAGGUAUAAAAUACAAACAGUUGCAUAAUUCAAUCAUAUUGAAAAGCAUUUAAUGUUCACUCAAUUGAGUUAUAUUUUGCUAAUGUACGCUACUGUCUGUAAUUUGUCUCAGUAAAUUUCAUAAUGGGUAGCCUAACAUCAAAUAACAUUUUAUUUGUCACAUACACGUGUUUAGCAAAUGUUAUUGCGGGUGUCGUGAAAUGCUUGUGUUUCUAGCGCCAACAGCUCCAACAUCCAGUAAUAUCUAAUACGUAAUAUCUAACAAUGCACACAAUCUAAAGUAAAGGAAUGGAAUUAAGAAUAAAUAAAUAUUUGGAUGACCAAUGUCAGAGCGGCAUAGACUAAGAUACAGUAGAAUUGGAUAGAGUACAGUAUAUACAGUGGGGCAAAAAAGUAUUUUUACAUUUGUUACAUUUGUUAUUUGCAAAUACAUUCAUUAGAAAUCCUACAAUGGGAUUUUCUGGAUUUUUUUUUCUCAUUUUGUUUGUCAUAGUUGAAGUGUACCUAUGAUGACAAUUACAGGCCUCUGUCAUCUUUUUAAGUGGGAGAACCUGCACAAUUGGUGGCUGACUAAAUACUUUUUUGCUCCACUGUACAUACACUGCUCAAAAAAAUAAAGGGAACACUUAAAAAACACAAUGUAACUCCAAGUCAAUCACACUUCUGUGAAAUCAAACUGUCCACUUAGGAAGCAACACUGAUUGACAA
rnacentral:lncRNA from 1 species